CACCAGAGACUCGCGCAGAGAGUUCGUGAGCACGGGCCUGCCGCGCAGAAACAGACGGCGUCGUCUCACCCGGAAGCCCGUCACUCGGGACGCCCCGGGCUGAAUGGGGCAUCGAGGAACCAUGAAGAGAUUCAAGUCACCUGAUGUCCAGAGCAGAUCCCAUAAAUGAUGGUUUGCGGUGUUCAGCACUGGCAGCUGUGUAAGGCGGCUGAGGUUCAGAUUCGUUCCAGUAUUUGUCUCGUUCGAUGUGAGGAACCAGAUCAAACAUCUCAUCCACUGACAGCAAAGACACCUGGGAAACAAAACGAAACAUUUCAUGUAACUGCACGCUUCUGGCCUGAAGUAAACCUCCAGUCUGUGUUUGACUAGUGGCUAAUGUUUCAUCAAUAUAUUUUUUUAUGUAUAUAAACGUUCAUUUAUUGGAAUAUUUUUUUGUAUAAAACUGUAUUAAUUAAUUAAUUUGCUUUAUUUUAUUUUAUACUAAAUUUUUAAAUGGGCCUUGUAACUUUGUCUCAUUUAAGUUUAGCCAGGUUACAGUUGUUCUGCUGUAUUACUGGUAAGACUUGCUGGCUAAUGACUUCAGUUUGGGCAACAAUAGGGAGCAUAAAUGUUUGUUUAUGUCGUUGCUUUGAAAGCGUCUAUAGAACAUGUUUAAACACAUCAACUGUCAUAAACAAACAGACGUU